AUGGCAGCCAUGCCUCUAGCUCUAGGUGCACCGAGCCAUCAUGGUUCAUCUUCCUUCUCCUCCACAGUCUCAUCAGUUCGGCGAGCGGUCCCGGUGCCAGAGGCUCGUCGGACAUCGAGCAACGCUCGCCACACAGUCUCCACAGUUGGCUGCACCGCCACCGCCACCGCCACCACCACCACCAUAACCACCACCACAUUGCCCGAAGCGGACACGGUCGCGCACCGAGCUACUCCCCGCGGUUUCAACCUCACGUUGUCGAAUAUCGAGAUGAAGGCCACCGUGACGGUGCACAUGAAAAGUUUCUGGUCAGGACUUGAAAAAAUAACUUCCUUGUCUGAGAAGGCCGCUUGGGUUUACCAUUGGACGAACGAUCUCCUUCACCGAGAGUGGCUACAACUUGAGCUCGUCUCGGAGUCUAACCCAGAAGAGCGGGAAGAUCCAAGUUAUGCCAAAUACUCGGGUACAGGAGCCGAUGAGGAGUUUUACACGUUCGAGGCCACCUUCACGGUGCCGGCAUCGUUCAGCCCCAUCGGCGCCGUGCGAGUGGUGAACGACCACUACAACGAGAUGUUGCUUGGAGACGUCAGGAUCUUCCCCGCCGACCAGGGCCCCAAGUCGUCCAGCGCUACGUUAUUCCACUGCAACUCGUGGAUCCACCCCUCGCGCAGCAGCAACGACAAGCGUACUUUCUUCCCUGUCACGUACUCUUACCUCCCGUCGAAGACGCCCGAGGGCAUGAAGAGGCUGCGCCGCAGUGAGCUACUGGCCAUCCGCGGCGACGGCACCGGCGAGCGCAAGCCACACCAGCGCAUCUACGACUAUGACGUCUACAACGACCUCGGCAACAAGCGACCUGUGCUCGGCGGUGAAAAGCGCCCCUACCCGCGACGCUGCCGCACGGGCCGCGGUCACUACAUGCAAGGUGAAGAUGCACCUUCGGAAGUGAGGGCCACCGACAAGAUUUAUGUGCCCCGGGAUGAGGCGUUCACGGAGAUAAAAGACGCGGCGUUCAUAAGAGAGCUGGUUUUGUCCGCGGCACACGCGGCCUGCACGGUCGAGUUCAAGGAUAUGAAAGACCACAGGAGCCAGAGCUUCCCUUCCUUGGCGGCGAUCGAUGCGCUGUACGACGUCGACUUCACCAACCAGCCCUCGCAAUCGCAACCGCACACACAAGCGGAGAUUGUCGGGGUCGUGAUAGGUUUUGUUGUGGAUGAGCUGGAGCGCCUCCUCCAUGGAGCGCACCUUUCGGAGGAGAUCUGCAGAUUCUUGAAGUUUGAAACGCCGGAAAUUCAUGAUAAGGACAAGUUUGCUUGGUUCAGAGAUGAGGAGUUUGCGCGACAAACCCUUGCAGGGAUGAACCCACUGAGCAUCCAACUAGUCACGGAGCUGCCUAUCGUCAGCAAGCUGGACGGGCCAUCCCUUAUCACUAAAGAGCUGAUUGAAGAGCAGAUAAACGGUGUCAUGACAGCUGAGGAGGCCAUCCGUAGGAAGAAGCUGUUCAUACUGGACUACCACGACAUGUUCCUGCCAUUCGUACACAAGGUGCGCAUGCUUGAGGACACGACGUUGUAUGGGUCGCGCACGCUCUUCUUCCUCACAGGGGACGGCACACUCCGGCCGAUCGCCAUCGAGCUGACGAGGCCUGAGUCACAGGAUCAUGGCCGUCGCAACUCGCCAUCCCCGACCAAGGACGAGUGGCGCCAGGUCUUCACGCCGGGAUCCAGCGUCACAGAAUCCUGGCUGUGGCAGCUCGCCAAGUCCCAUGUCCUGGCUCAUGACACCGGCUACCACCAGCUCGUUAGCCACUGGCUGAGGACGCACUGUUGUGUUGAGCCGUACAUCAUCGCGGCUAACCGGCAGCUGAGCCAGAUGCACCCCAUCUACCAGCUGCUGCACCCGCACUUCCGGUACACCAUGGAGAUAAACGCUCAGGCGCGCCAGAUGCUCGUCAACGCGGGUGGAAUCAUCGAGAGCACCUUUUCGCCCGGAAGAUACUGCAUGGAGCUCAGCUCCGUGGUUUACGACAAGUUCUGGCGGUUCGACAUGGAGGCUCUGCCGGAAGAUCUCAUCCGGAGGGGCAUGGCGGUGAGAGGGGAGGAUGGCAAACUGGAGUUGGCCAUAGAGGACUACCCGUACGCCACCGAUGGCCUCAUGGUCUGGGAUGCCAUCAAGCAGUGGGCCUCGGACUACGUGAAGCACUACUACAAAUGCGCGAAGGACAUCAUCGACGACCAGGAGCUCCAAGGUUGGUGGACGGAGGUGCGAACCAAAGGCCACGAGGAUAAGAAGGACGAGCCGUGGUGGCCGGUGCUGGACAGCCACGAGAGUCUGGUCCAAGUCUUGGCCACCAUCAUGUGGGUCACGUCCGCGCAUCACGCCGCCGUCAACUUUGGCCAGUACCCCCUGGCUGGGUACGUCCCCAACCGCCCAACCACAACCCGGAAGAACAUGCCGUCGGAGAUGGUCGGCCCCGACUCCAAGGAGAUGCGCAAGUUUCUGGAGGAGCCAGAGAGGGUGCUGCUGGACACCUUCCCAUCCCAGUACCAGAGCGUCCUGGUCAUGCUGAUACUGAACCUCCUGUCUUCACACUCGCCAGACGAGGAAUACAUGGCCACGUACGCAGAGCUUGUGUGGAGACAGGAAGAGGAGAUCAAAGAGGCUUUUGACAGGUUCAAAUCCAAAAUGAUAGAUAUCGCGGUGCAGAUCGACAAGGCCAACAUGGACUCCAAGCUAAAAAACCGUAACGGCCCUGGUGUGGUGCCGUAUGUGCUGCUCAGGCCGUCAAAUGGUCAUCCCGAGGACGAGAAAACGGUGAUGGGGAUGGGCAUCCCGUACAGCAUCUCCAUUUGA
rnacentral:rRNA from 1 species